rnacentral:rRNA from 1 species
GAUGAACGCUGGCGGCGUGCCUAAUACAUGCAAGUCGAGCGAACAGACGAGGAGCUUGCUCCUCUGACGUUAGCGGCGGACGGGUGAGUAACACGUGGAUAACCUACCUAUAAGACUGGGAUAACUUCGGGAAACCGGAGCUAAUACCGGAUAAUAUAUUGAACCGCAUGGUUCAAUAGUGAAAGACGGUUUUGCUGUCCCUUAUAGAUGGAUCCGCGCCGCAUUAGCUAGUUGGUAAGGUAACGGCUUACCAAGGCAACGAUGCGUAGCCGACCUGAGAGGGUGACCGGCCACACUGGACCUGAGACACGGUCCAGACUCCUACGGGAGGCAGCAGUAGGGAAUCUUCCGCAAUGAGCGAAAGCCUGACGGAGCAACGCCGCGUGAGUGAUGAAGGUCUUCGGAUCGUAAAACUCUGUUAUUAGGGAAGAACAAAUGUGUAAGUAACUAUGCACGUCUUGACGGUACCUAAUCAGAAAGCCACGGCUAACUACGUG